GGAGUCAAAUAGUGCGUGAAAUUGUUGAAAGGGAAACGAUUGAAGUCAGUCAUGUUUGCAGGGAAUCAACAUGGUGGUUUUUCUUUCUUGUGCACUUCCUUGCUUAUUAGAUUAGCAUCAAUUCUGAUUGUCAUUAAAGAACCGGGGGAAUGUGGCUUCUUCGGGAGUGUUAUAGACCUUGGUAGAUGUGGCGAUCGGGAUUGAGGAUUGCAGCGAAUGCUUCUUGGCUAGUCAUCUGGCUUCUGACGGUCACCUCGCUUUCGAUAGCUUGCUAAUGUUGGUGAGAUUUGAUUGUCUAGAUGUUAGAGUGAUCAUAAAUUUGCUAAGGAUGCUGAUGUAAUGGCUUUAAACGA
rnacentral:misc_RNA from 1 species